rnacentral:tRNA from 1 species
CUAACCCUAGUUUAAUAUAGAAUAGAAGUUUUGGGGAUUUUUGGUCUCUUUUGAGGGGUUUGG